rnacentral:misc_RNA from 1 species
GAUGAAGAACGCAGCGUAAUGCGAUAAGUAAUGUGAAUUGCAGAAUUCAGUGAAUCAUCGAAUCUUUGAACGCACAUUGCGCCCGCCAGUAUUCUGGCGGGCAUGCCUGUUCGAGCGUCAUUACAACCCUCAGGCCCCCGGGCCUGGCGUUGGGGAUCGGCGGAAGCCCCCUGUGGGCACACGCCGUCCCUCAAAUACAGUGGCGGUCCCGCCGCAGCUUCCAUUGCGUAGUAGCUAACACCUCGCAACUGGAGAGCGGCGCGGCCAUGCCGUAAAACACCCAACUUCUGAAUGUUGACCUCGAAUCAGGUAGGAAUACCCGCUGAACUUAAGCAUAUCAUAAGCGGAGGA